AUGAAGGGUGUACCUGGUCUGCAAUGAGGUUUAAUGUAUCCUGGUGCCAUUACAUCCAAGUAAACGUGAUGAAUAAGAAAACAGGACUCAUCAGACCAGAUGACUUUCUUCCAUCUUCCAAGGUUUCCAUUGCUUGUGUGCCCAUUCUAGGGGCUUUCGACUGUGGACAAGGGUCAUCAUGGGCACUCUGACCAGUCUGCACCUACACAGGCCCAUCAUUAAAAUUGUCUCCACAUAGACCUUCUACCAUUGAUGAGCCUUGGAUGUCUCCAAUUUCUGGUUUGACUCUCCUUGGACAACUGUUGUGAGUUGAAGGUGACUGCAGGAGAGCUAACAUAGGAUUGGUGUGUGCGAUUACCCAGCAUCCCACUCCUCUUCAUCAUAGCAGCAGGACGGUAGCGGUCAUCCAGACGCUCUCUCAGGCCUCCAUUACUCUCGCAGUGUGAAGCCAGGCCACUGAAUGGAAGAAAUUACACUGAAUCUUCCAGUCAUUUAAAAUGCCAAUCGCACCUUAUGGUCCGAUCCCCUCCAAGCAUGAAAAGACACAGCUCUUUCUUGGUCGCCAACUAUCUUUCUGCCAUUCACUCACGUACACCGGCUCAAACAAAGGAC
ensembl:lncRNA